ensembl:lincRNA
CUUAAACCGGUUACCUCUGUCAACAGCUGGGUCUCAGUCCCCCAGGGCCUGCCAAGCAACCACGCCGCAGCUCCUCAGAACUAUCCUGGCAAGUGAAAGAAGACAGAGCUUUCACUCCCAAGACUUUCCUCUUCCACAGGGUAAGAGUUAAUUUCAGACUGUGCUGUAAUCUGUGCAAGUUCACCCAAACUGAGCCAAUUCCCAUGGCUUUGGGAACGCCCCAAGGCAGAGAAACUGGAAAACAUCCUGCAGGGUAAGGCCUGAGUACUUGAAAGUCACAGCUAUCUGCACCAGAUCCGGGCACCCAGGAGGUGAAGAGAGACAGAGCCAAGGAAUGCGAUGCUGUGCUCAAGAGGCAUCUGCUACAACCAGCGGACCCCUUAUCUCCUUUGGUGUGAUAAAAAAUAGAAUGAAUACUACUACUGAGUCCCAUCUAAUGGAAAGGCAGACUCAUGAAAACACCACCAUGUGUCCUCUUCCACCUCCAUCACCAGAGCUGGUACUGUGUGAGAGCCUUCUCCCCAAAGUCGAAAUAAUCACGAAAGACUGCAUAAUGAAUUCACUGGAGGAUUUUCUGAAUAUAUUCACAUCCUUGAAUUAGAUGAACAACUGAAAAAGUUAUUCCUCCAAGAAUGGACUUCAUAGAACAUUUUACUUGUUGGUGUCUCAUCAAAAAUGCCAUUGCAUUUUCAAAGCAAUUGUUUGAAGCAAUCAGUUAAAUAUCUGAAUUUUAUAUGGGUUUCUUUUUUUCUUUUAUUUUUGGUUGCUCAAGGGAAGUCUAGCUACAGGAUCCUGCUGCUUUAAAAUGAACAGAAGCAAGGAAAUGUAAAGGUAAUUUAACUUUAAAUAAACCUAGUGUUCAGCAAUGCUCAGUAGUCAUAAAUGAAUACAUUUUUAGGAGCUAUGAAUACUUUAUCAGAGCCAUUGUUCUUUUUAAUAUAUUUCAGAGGCAUUCAAUUCUAAAUGAUGUGCCCUGAAAGCUCUCACAAGAUACAGCAUGCCCUUAAAAGAAAAGCUUAAGAAAAGGUCACAAUGAGCAUGAUUAUCAUGACACUAAAACACAGAACAAUCACGGCCCUACGUGAACAGGAAUAAGCAUGUAAACUGUUUAUACAUGAUAGAAGAAUGUAGGACUACCUAGACGGUCAGAAAAGUUCAAAUAUUGAAGUCUGAAUAGGUUUAUUAAAUAAGUAUACUUCUCUUUUAUUUCUCUUCCCUCUGGUUCUCUCAUUGCCUGAGAUAUUUAACCACAUUAGCAUGUUCACAAAGAAAAGUAAAAGGAGAGACAUCUCAGUGUGGCUCUGGCCUCAUUAAUCUGCUUACAGGCCAAUACUUUAAAGCUCAUGGUGAAAAUAAUAUGUUGGAGCCAUCUGCAGAUUCAUCAAUGAAGAGGCACCAUUCAUUUUCUCCACUAACUUGCUCUGUACCACCAGUGGAGAAUAGUUGUUAAGGGUGGGAGCACCCAUUUGUUCAAAUUUUAGCUCCACCAAGUUUGUAUUGCAUGAUCUCAGGUGACACCCUAAGCCUUUUUUACUAUACUUCAGCUUAUUAUAACAAAAAUGGUAGCAUUAAUAGAAGCCCUUUAACUUUCACAAUAGGCUUAAAAUAGAAUUCUAUUUGGGUACACUCAUUUAGGAUAUGAAUGCAGAAAUGUCCUUGAAAAUCUUUGCUUUUAAUUACACAACACUUGCUUUGUACUUACUACAUAAAAGUCCUCUAUUAGAGGAUUAGUGUACAAUAAUGUGUGAUACAGACCUACAGACAAUAAAGAUAGCCUAGUCACAUGAGCAGAAACAAAUAAUUACAAGUGAAUGUUGCGAUUAAAAUGUAUGUACAGAGAUUUACAAAGGCCCUUCACAUGAGAAGAUGAAAGAAAAGGACUCCAGAACAUAUCAUUUUUGCUUAUUUUUAAGCUAAAAAAUAAUUUCUGAAAAGUUAAAAAUGAUUUUUAUUUAAUUGGAUGCUUUAUUGCUCCUGGAAGACUUUGUCCCUUUUUUUUUUUUUUUUUCCCCAGUACUGGGAGUCGAACUCACGACCUUGUGCUUGCCAGGCAGGCGCUGUGCUGCUGAGCUAAAUCCCCAGCCCCUGUCCCUUUUUCUAACCUCUUUUUUAUCAUCUAAUCGUUUACUCAUUUGUUUUUGAAGUACCUGAAGAGACAUAAUGUGCACACAGAAACAAAGAAAGAAAAUUAGUCAUCAGUGAUAGCUUGCAGCCCCUUUGAUAGUAAGUCCCAGAAGUCUUACUUAUGGCUUCCUAGGCUUUCAAGAGCUAAACACAGAAAGAUAUAGGAUUCUAUACCAAUGGCCUAAUAUAACUUUCUAAUAAAAAGUGAAAAGGAAAAAUCUCCUGAGAAGAGACAUGAAAAUUCUAUUGUAUGCCAAAAAAAUCUGAAAAACAAGGGAAAGUCUGAAGUAAAUGGCUAAGAAAAAAGUUAUUUUAAGUACAAGAAUUAACUGUGAAGUCACAGACUCCUCAAAUCCAAAGGUCCUAAGAAGCCCAAUCCUUUCAGUGCACUUAAUUAAUGUACUCACUGUCCUUAAGCUGAUAAAAAUGCCAAUUGUGAUAACUAAGAAAAUAAUCAUGUACUAAGUUGAAGAAUGGACAAAUUGUAUCAGGAGAAAAUAAAUGUACAUAUGUAAAAAUUGUAUGAAACUUGUCUACCAUAUUAGAAUAAGCAUGUUUUCUUGAAAAAAUUCUUAGGGUUGAAAUGACAGGAAAAGACUGAUCAAAGCUUUAUGGUAAGGGAGACAUACACAUAAAAAAAGAAUGUUAAGUAAAUCUUGCAUUAUCUUGGUGCUCUGGCUUACUUCUGUUAAAAUGCAGUCUUUUUUUUAUCAGAAAUUGUGACCUGCCAUUUUAUAUUUACAUGAUCUCUUUUUGAUGGGAAAAGAAUUUCCACAGUUCAGUCAGUAUCUGAAAAUUUGGUAACACUACAGUUUCAACGGCUGAACUUAUACUCUGCAGAACAUCCAGGAAGCCUAGUGUGACAUUCGUUUUCAUUUUACAAAUAGCUCUUCUAAAAUACAUUUAAAUGGCAUUCUGCUUCAAGACAGUGACUGAGGAACUUUUGAGAUCCCUAUGAAUUAUUCCUCAGUAGUCAAGCGCAUCGGGUAGUGAGAGAAGGUGAAAAUAAAUAUCAGAGGGAAUUUCAUAAGACUUCAAAAUCCAUAUGGAAAGGAGCAGGGGAAGCAAGUAAAUAUAUGUAACAUGAAAGACCUUAAAAAAGGCUUUGAGGAAAGCUACUUGAGCACAAAUUUUAUUUUUACUGAGAAUAAAAGAAAAACCAGCAAUAUCCAACAUUCUAGCUCAGCUUUUCUGCUAAAGAACUAAAACUAAAUCUUAUUGUAGCACAUAUGCUUUUAAGAAACAGCUUGAAUUAACAUUACAUAUGCUCUCAGAAACUUUUGAAAGAAACAUUUUAGAGUGAAAACUGAAAUAUAUAUUUAUUAAAAGAGGGAGAAAGAAGGAGGCAUCGCCCAGGUAGGCUGAGGUAUAAGAUGAA